AGCAUCAGGAGGAUUAGCACUGCUAUUCCGAUUCAGAAAUAAAGUUAAACGACAGGCUUUGCCUAGACAGGUUAAUGGCUGGUGAUGACGGGGCAGAGCUGAGGCUAGAGUUCAACUCCUUAUUUUAAUUUCCGCUGCAGAACUAGCCAGUAUCUGUCUUUUGUUCCUUAACUUAAGACCUAUUAUGUUGUGAUUCUAAAAACAAUAUCUUUUGUUGAACCUAGACUAUUAACUCUCAAAUAUUUUGAUCAGUGAUUGUUGGUUAUCUGAA